UGAUGCGAUCAUACAAGCACUAAAGCACCGGAUCCCAUCAGAACUCCGAAGUUAAGCGUGCUUGGGCGAGAGUAGUACUAUGAUGGGUGACCUCCUGGGAAGUCCUCGUGUUGCAUUCC
rnacentral:rRNA from 1 species